rnacentral:misc_RNA from 1 species
UUUCAUUCUAAAGACAUUCCAGCACA